CCGUGAAAAUAUUUUUACAAUGCUAAAGAAUCCUGGAGGUUCAGAGGAGAAUAGGUUUCUUCCUUGUGCUGUAUAGUCCUGGGACUAUACAUGGAGAUGAAGCCAGGCCUCAAGUUUGCACUUGCAUAUUCCCAUAGGUUCUCAGAAUUCUCUGUAUGAACAACGAGGAGGCUGAACCAAUGCAUAUGGCAGUU
rnacentral:snoRNA from 1 species